rnacentral:rRNA from 1 species
UGCAAGUCGAACGCGUCUUGGUUAAUGAUGUUAGGUGCUUGCAUUUAACUGAUUUAACAUUGAGACGAGUGACGAACUGGUGAGUAACACGUGGGUAACCUGCCCUGAAGUGGGGGAUAACACUUGGAAACAGGUGCUAAUACCGCAUAACAACGAAAACCACAUGGUUUUCGUUUGAAAGAUGGCUUCGGCCGUCACUUUUGGAUGGACCCGCGGCGUAUUAGCUUGUUGGUGAGGUAACGGCUCACCAAGGCCAUGAUACGUAGCCGACCUGAGAGGGUAAUCGGCCACAUUGGGACUGAGACACGGCCCAAACUCCUACGGGAGGCAGCAGUAGGGAAUCUUCCACAAUGGACGAAAGUCUGAUGGAGCAACGCCGCGUGAGUGAUGAAGGGUUUCGGCUCGUAAAACUCUGUUGUUGGAGAAGAACAGGUGAUAGAGUAACUGUUAUCAUCUUGACGGUAUCCAACCAGAAAGCCACGGCUAACUACGUGCCAGCAGCCGCGGUAAUACGUAGGUGGCAAGCGUUGUCCGGAUUUAUUGGGCGUAAAGCGAGCGCAGGCGGUUUUUUAGGUCUGAUGUGAAAGCCUUCGGCUUAACCGGAGAAGGGCAUCGGAAACCGGGAGACUUGAGUGCAGAAGAGGACAGUGGAACUCCAUGUGUAGCGGUGAAAUGCGUAGAUAUAUGGAAGAACACCAGUGGCGAAGGCGGCUGUCUGGUCUGUAACUGACGCUGAGGCUCGAAAGCAUGGGUAGCGAACAGGAUUAGAUACCCUGGUAGUCCAUGCCGUAAACGAUGAGUGCUAAGUGUUGGAGGGUUUCCGCCCUUCAGUGCUGCAGCUAACGCAUUAAGCACUCCGCCUGGGGAGUACGACCGCAAGGUUGAAACUCAAAGGAUUGACGGGGGCCCCGCACAGCGGUGGAGCAUGUGGUUUAUUCGAUGCUACGCGAGAACCCUACCAGGUCUGACAUCUUCUGCUAACCUAGAAGAUUAGCCGUCCCUUCGGGACGAAAUGACCGUGGUGCAUGGUUGUCCUCGCUCG